AUUGAACGCUGGCGGCAUGCCUUACACAUGCAAGUCGAACGGCAGCACGGGAGCAAUCCUGGUGGCGAGUGGCGAACGGGUGAGUAAUAUAUCGGAACGUGCCCAGUCGUGGGGAUAACGUAGCGAAAGCUACGCUAAUACCGCAUACGAUCUAUGGAUGAAAGCGGGGGAUCGCAAGACCUCGCGCGAUUGGAGCGGCCGAUAUCAGAUUAGGUAGUUGGUGAGGUAAAGGCUCACCAAGCCGACGAUCUGUAGCUGGUCUGAGAGGACGACCAGCCACACUGGGACUGAGACACGGCCCAGACUCCUACGGGAGGCAGGCAGUGGGGGAAUUUUUGGACAAUGGGCGCAAGCCUGAUCCAGCAAUGCCGCGUGCAGGAUGAAGG
rnacentral:rRNA from 1 species